rnacentral:rRNA from 1 species
UGGGGAAUAUUGCACAAUGGGCGCAAGCCUGAUGCAGCCAUGCCGCGUGUGUGAAGAAGGCCUUCGGGUUGUAAAGCACUUUCAGCGAGGGGGAAGGGUGGUGAGCUUAAUACGCUCAUCAAUUGACGUUACUCGCAGAAGAAGCACCGGCUAACUCCGUGCCAGCAGCCGCGGUAAUACGGAGGGUGCAAGCGUUAAUCGGAAUUACUGGGCGUAAGGCGCACGCAGGCGGUUUGUUAAGUCAGAUGUGAAAUCCCCCGGGCUCAACCUGGGAACUGCAUUUGAAACUGGCAAGCUAGAGUCUCGUAGAGGGGGGCUAGAAUUCCAGGUGUAGCGGUGGAAUGCGUAGAGAUCUGGAGGAAUACCGGUGGCGAAGGCGGCCCCCUGGACGAAGACUGACGCUCAGGUGCGAAAGCGUGGGGCAGCAAACAGGAUUAGAUACCCUGGUAGUCCACGCUGUAAACGAUGUCGAUUUUGGAGGUUGUGCCCCUUGAGGCGUGGGCUUCCGGAGCUAACGCGUUAAAUCGACCGCCU